UACGAAGGGGCUAGCGUUGCUCGGAAUCACUGGGCGUAAAGGGUGCGUAGGCGGGUCUUUUAAGUCAGGGGUGAAAUCCUGGAGCUCAACUCCAGAACUGCCUUUGAUACUGAAGAUCUUGAGUUCGGGAGAGGUGAGUGGAACUGCGAGUGUAGAGGUGAAAUUCGUAGAUAUUCGCAAGAACACCAGUGGCGAAGGCGGCU
rnacentral:rRNA from 1 species